CCUACGGGAGGCAGCAGUGAGGAAUAUUGGUCAAUGGGCGCUAGCCUGAACCAGCCAAGUAGCGUGAAGGAUGACUGCCCUAUGGGUUGUAAACUUCUUUUAUAGGGGAAUAAAGUGCAGUAUGUAUACGGCUUUGCAUGUACCUUAUGAAUAAGGAUCGGCUAACUCCGUGCCAGCAGCCGCGGUAAUACGGAGGAUCCGAGCGUUAUCCGGAUUUCUUGGGUUUCACGGGAGCGUAGGCGGGUUGUUAAGUCAGUUGGGAAAGUUUGCGGCUCCACCGUAAAAUUGCAGUUGAUACUGGCAUCCUUGAGUACAGUAGAGGUAGGCGGAAUUCGUUGUGUAGCGGU
rnacentral:rRNA from 1 species